AAGUGGACUAAUAGAUGCAAAUUAUAACAAGUAGAGAUGAAUGGAAUGAUGUUGGUUGCAUGAAUCUUUGAUGGAAAUUGGUAUAGAUGUAGAGCACAGUCUGGAAGAACUGAUAAGCUACUUAUAACCCCAAAAAUGUGUUCAGUUUCCGGAAGAUAAUUUUCAUUCACAUAUUUACAGCAAUAGUUCAAUACAUCUUAUUAAAAUUUGGCACAGGCUUGUCUUGCGUUGCUGGGUGCCUGCCAAGAUGAGUUUUGAUGUGUAGAUGUAAACAAAAUUGUUCAACAUGUCCGGCGGGGAGCUUGUUGAGAUCGGAUUUAUUUAGUAAAUGGAUAAUUGAAGGGGAGGAGGGACAGGUAGCCUUGACGGUGACAUCGGUAGCUGUUGGCGCUGUUCCCCACCCGCCGCAUCAGAGAUGCUGCUCUUUUUCUGAACCAUGCGGCGAAGCCGUCAACACCAGCAUCAGCAAACAUCCCAGACGCGCUGCAGAAGCGCGGCAACCCCAACAGUGCCCUGAACCCAUUAUUGUAUUGAACCCGCAAGGCAUUGUAAGCCCUUUAACGCUAAUUUAAUAUCUAUUACAACAAAAUAAAA